rnacentral:lncRNA from 1 species
AAAAAUGAUGAAUAACAAUAAUAACGAUAAUGAUAAUGAUAAUAGUAAUGAAUAAUAAUACUAAUAGUAAUAAUUAGUAACUUAAGAAUAAUUAAUAAUAAUAAUAAGGAAAAAGAAAAAAAAUAGAAAAAAUGAAAAUUAGAAAAAAGGAUGGGGCGAUUGAUUAAGAAGUAGAGAGACAUUUUUAUGAAAUUUCAAAAUGCAAAAAAUCUCCUCUCAUCAGACGACAUGUGUCAAAGGAAGUUUAAGAAAUAAUACAAAAAAU